AAUGAACGCUGGCGGCGUGCCUAACACAUGCAAGUCGAGCGAACAGACGAGGAGCUUGCUCCUCUGACGUUAGCGGCGGACGGGUGAGUAACACGUGGAUAACCUACCUAUAAGACUGGGAUAACUUCGGGAAACCGGAGCUAAUACCGGAUAAUAUAUUGAACCGCAUGGUUCAAUAGUGAAAGACGGUUUUGCAGUCACUUAUAGAUGGAUCCGCGCCGCAUUAGCUAGUUGGUAAGGUAACGGCUUACCAAGGCAACGAUGCGUAGCCGACCUGAGAGGGUGAUCGGCCACACUGGAACUGAGACACGGUCCAGACUCCUACGGGAGGCAGCAGUAGGGAAUCUUCCGCAAUGGGCGAAAGCCUGACGGAGCAACGCCGCGUGAGUGAUGAAGGUCUUCGGAUCGUAAAACUCUGUUAUUAGGGAAGAACAAAUGUGUAAGUAACUAUGCACGUCUUGACGGUACCUAAUCAGAAAGCCACGGCUAACUACGUGCCAGCCGCCGCAGUAA
rnacentral:rRNA from 1 species